rnacentral:rRNA from 1 species
GACGAACGCUGGCGGCGUGCCUAACACAUGCAAGUCGAGCGGAGUCAGUAAGAGGAAGUUUUCGGAUGGAAUCUUAUUGAUUUAGCGGCGGACGGGUGAGUAACGCGUGAGCGACCAACCUUGCACAGGGGGAUAACGGACCGAAAGGUUCACUAAUACCGCAUGAGACCACGGUGUUGCAUGACACAGGGGUCAAAGGAGCAAUCCGGUGCAAGACGGGCUCGCGUCCGAUUAGGUAGUUGGAGGGGUAACGGCCCACCAAGCCUAUGAUCGGUAGCCGACCGGAGAGGGUGAUCGGCCACAUUGGAACUGAGAUACGGUCCAAACUCCUACGGGAGGAAGCAGUGGGGAAUAUGGUGCAAUGGGGGAAACCCUGACCCAGCAACGCCGCGUGAAGGAAGAAGGUUUUCGGAUUGUAAACUUCUGUCCUUGGUGAAGAGAAGAAGACGGUAGCCAAGGAGGAAGCCCCGGCUAACUACAUGCCAGCAGCCGCCGUAACAC